rnacentral:rRNA from 1 species
CCUACGGGAGGCAGCAGUAGGGAAUCUUCCGCAAUGGGCGAAAGCCUGACGGAGCAACGCCGCGUGAGUGAUGAAGGUUUUCGGAUCGUAAAGCUCUGUUGCCAGGGAAGAACGUCCGGUAGAGUAACUGCUAUCGGAGUGACGGUACCUGAGAAGAAAGCCCCGGCUAACUACGUGCCAGCAGCCGCGGUAAUACGUAGGGGGCAAGCGUUGUCCGGAAUUAUUGGGCGUAAAGCGCGCGCAGGCGGUCAUUUAAGUCUGGUGUUUAAGGCCAAGGCUCAACCUUGGUUCGCACUGGAAACUGGGUGACUUGAGUGCAGAAGAGGAGAGUGGAAUUCCACGUGUAGCGGUGAAAUGCGUAGAUAUGUGGAGGAACACCAGUGGCGAAGGCGACUCUCUGGGCUGUAACUGACGCUGAGGCGCGAAAGCGUGGGGAGCA